ACUCCUACGGGAGGCAGCAGUCGGGAAUUUUGGGCAAUGGGCGAAAGCCUGACCCAGCAACGCCGCGUGAAGGAUGAAAUCCCUCGGGAUGUAAACUUCGCAAGAACAGGAAGAAUAAGUAAGGGUUAAUAUCUCUUACGAUGACGGUACUGUUUGUAAGCUCCGGCUAACUCCGUGCCAGCAGCCGCGGUAAU
rnacentral:rRNA from 1 species